UACGUAGGGUGCGAGCGUUAAUCGGAAUUACUGGGCGUAAAGCGUGCGCAGGCGGUUCGCCAAGUCAGGUGUGAAAUCCCCGGGCUUAACCUGGGAAUUGCGCUUGAAACUAGCGGGCUUGAGUGUGGCAGAGGGGGGUGGAAUUCCACGUGUAGCAGUGAAAUGCGUAGAGAUGUGGAGGAACACCGAUGGCGAAGGCAGCCCCCUGGGUCAACACUGACGCUCAUGCACGAAAGCGUGGUGAGCAAACAGG
rnacentral:rRNA from 1 species